UUAAUAAGAAAUAAUGGAGAACCAAGACGAAUCUCAGCAAUUAAAUAAGAAUACCAGCGAGGAUGAGGAAGAGGAUGUUCCACCUGAUAAAAAUCAUGACGAAAAUAGCGAUAGAAACGAUACUGAUAAACCAGACGGCAUAAUGAAGUCACACGACCAAGAAUGUAAGAUAGAAAUGGAUCAUGUGUCACCAAAACGUCCUAAAUUGAAGAGGCAGAGCACUCGCAGAGAAUUUUUUCUACCUCUUCAUCAGGCUGUAAGAAAUGGAAAUUUGGAAGCAUUACAAUGUUUUCUGAAUAACAUGAC
rnacentral:lncRNA from 1 species